rnacentral:lncRNA from 1 species
UUUUUUUUUUUUUCCCUUCAGUCCUGUGGUUUCUACUCUAAUCCUACUGCUUAGUCACUACCUGGUUGUGAUUUACCUGCAUCAGCUGCCAAGAGAGUGUGAGAUGGGAGGGGGAGACCCCGGACGAGGAGGCCCGCCCCGGGUUCUGGUCCCUCUGGCCUCAUCUCUUGUCUCUUUACGACAGGUUCCAAUCCCCUUGAAAACGGCCCCCUCCGCCCAGACUCCUGAGUGCCCCUGGGCCUUUGCAUCUGCUCCUCCUUCUGCUUUCCUCCCGCCCCUGCUUGGCCCGCCCCUCGGAGCUGAGCAACUCCACGUGGGCGCCUCGGCCAUCCUGUGUAUCUCCGACCUCACACUUAGCCUGUCCCUGUGCUGUUUGAGUGUUUGCUUUUAUUGACUCCCACAUCGGUGAAUAUUUCCUGAGCAUCCGUGAUGUCUUAGGCACUGCUCUAGGGACUGGGGAUAUAACAGGGAACAGAAUAAGCAAGGUCUCUGUGCACUGGGGCUGACAGUUGAGUGGAAAGAGACAAGCAGCUCACAAAUAAGGAACACAGUUAUAUGUCGCAUCUAACAAGUGCAGUGAAGAAACAAAACAGGGAAGGCAGAUGGAGACAGGGGUUGGAAGGCUGUUUUAGAUGAAGCGGUUGGGAAAGGCAGCUGGCAAGGGAAUGUUGCAUCAUCGGCUCAAAGGAAUGGGGGGGCAAGCGAUGAAGGAUGGGGUGGGGGGCCCAUGGUGGUCAAGCGGUGGAAAAGCCAGAGCAAAGGCCCUGAGGCAGGAAGCGCUUGUUCUGUUCGGGACACUGGAGAAGCAGGGUGGUGUGGCUAGAGCACGUCCCCCUCCAGUCCAAGCUGUGGACUCCAUGGGGUUAGACACCAUGUCCCCCUGGCUCAAGGGCGUGUCCCUAAUAUCUGGCUUGAGGCUGGCUCAUGCCCUAAAGAUGGAGAGCCAAUUCACACCUUGGAACAGCUUCCCUCUGUCUAGUUUCACCAAAAGGCCUUGAGUGAGACAGAGCGAGAAAGACAUGGGACGUUGGACAAGGGCAGGUCCGGGCACUAGAAGAACUGAGCAGUAAACAGCCAGGGGCUGCGGGUCCUGCUCCAUGCUCCAAGGCUCAAAGCUCAGGAUGGCAGAGGGCUCUGGGAAGGGCUUCUGAUCAUCACCUUGUGUUAUUAAAGCCAUACUUUUUUUUUUUUGGUCCUUUUAUGGGGGGUCGGGGGACUGCACCCAUGGCGUAUGGAAGUUCCCAGGCCAGGGGUCCAAUCAGAGCUAUAGGUGCCGACCUACACCACAGCCACAGCAACGCCAGAUCUGAGCCGCAGCUGGGACCUACACCACUGUUCACAGCAACGCCAGAUCCUUAACCCACUGACCAAGGCCAGGGAUCAAACCUGCAUCCUCACGGGUACCAGUCAGAUUCGUAACCCGCUGAGCUACAACGGGGACUCCCAAGCUGUGCUCUCUUCAGUGACCAGCGACUCCACAGCAGAUACACCCGGUAUCCUCGGUCACCAGCAGCGUCUGGGACUGCACGCGACGCAGGCUUGCGUGGCACAUUUACGGAGACUGGAUGAGAUGUUCUCUCCAUUCUGCAGGUGAACAGGCUGACCUUGAGAGUGGUCACGUAAGUGGCUCGAGGUCACACAGCUCACGGCAGAGACAAGCCGUGCACCCAGGCUGUCGGGCUCUGCCGCCUUGGCCCCGGCCACUGUUCCAUAAAUGCCGACUCCUCCAGGCCCAUCACGGCGGCGAUGGACCGCAGGCCCAGGCUGAGACUCAGAUGUGAGUUCGCUGUGACCCCACAGCCGCGUAUUUUCACAUCAAAGAGCAACGCCCCCAUGGUUUGCGUCUGGAUUGGGAUCAACCCAGAAAUGAGUGUAAAGACCAACCACAGUCUUUGAUGAGGACUCCAUGUCCAGGGAGGCUCCAAAGUGACUGAGGGCUGUAGGUCAGGGGCCUGAUGGUACGAGGAAGUUGUGUCUAACACGGGGACAUCUGGAAAUGCUCAUGAAAAAUGGCAGCCCAGCCCUAGAGGCUCCCACUGAGACAAGUACGGGCAGGAAUUCUCGUGGCAGGAAGGACCGCAGUGCCCACCACCAGGAUCAAGACAGGCCUUCGUGAACAACAGCCAAUUCUCUAAAGAAGAAAUCAAAGCGACUCAAGGCAGGAAGUGGCUUUAUCCUGUGAUCUCACUACAUCCCACUUGGGGCUUCAGCGCCCAAAGGGAGGCCUCUUCCCUGAAGUGAUAAGACGUGCCGCUUUCUGGAAGAUCUGAGUGGCCACGGGAGCUUAAGGCAGUCUUGUCAGCAGGAUGGCGGCGGCUUGAUCGGGGGCUUAAAUCAUAAUGUCCAGGAGGCUCCUGGGGCUAAAACGGUAACGAGUUGACAGGAGGGCCAAACAGUGGAGGCAUCCAUCCCCCAGACUGGAGGAUGAUGAGCGGAUGCCUGGAAGAUGCAGGGGCCGGUUCCCUUACAGCAUCAUGAAAGACUUCAGCACCAGAUUAGAUAUCCUUCCUGUCCUGUAACUUAUUCUCCGGACUUUCCGUGAGAACACAGACCUCCUUAUCAGGAAAGACAGACCACAGGAGCAUCAGUCUCUUGGAGGACAGAGCCCACGAAAACACAUCGGGAUUAAAACAGGACAAGCUCUAACGGUGAAAACAAGAUCCGCCUGUAGCUACUCCAAAGGCAGAGGUGGUUCCUGCCGCUUGUGUCACCGCGACUUAGAGCUGGCCUCCAGAAAUCCCGUUACUGGCCCUCACACUCCACAGCAGGAACGCCUCGUAUUUGGGAGCACGAUGUUUUUGGUGGUGUUUAUCGUGACUGCGUGAGUAAGGAGUGAGAGCCAGUAAUGACAUGUCAGGAAGCCAGGUCUCCUUUCCAAAGAGCUGGAUGGUUUUUGGUGUGGUUCCAAGCCUCCCUCAGCAGCAGAAGAAAGCAUUGGUUGAGAGUUUAGAAAUCUAAGUUUUGCCACUAACAGGAUGAACCUGUGUAAUGCCUUGGGCCAAACACAACAGAAGACAUAAAGACGGACCGUUCAAGGCAUUUGUCCUCAAGGAACUCGCAUCCAGGUUGAGGAGAGAGGCAGAUAAAAACCUGAGACCUUGGAGUGCCUGCUGUGGCUCCGCAGUGAUGAACCCGACUAGUAUCCGUGAGGUUGUGGGUUGGAUCCCUGGCCUCACUAAGUCGGUUAAGGGUCUGGCGUGGCUGUGAGCUGUGGUGUAGGUCAAAGAUGUGGCUCAGAUGCUGUGUUGCUCUGGCUACGGUGUAGGCGGGUGGCUGCAGCUCCAAUUCCUCCCCUAGCCUGGGAACCUUCACAUGCUGUGGGUGCAGCCCUGAAAAAAAAAAAA